AAGUCUCUAACGUCCUCUAUUUUGGGAGAUAAGCAGAGGAAACUCAGCAUUUUUAAGCCGUAGCAGCGCUGCACAUGAGUGGACUGUUGCAGGCUAUGCCACAGGACUGCCCACCCUUUGACAGGUACUGCUGAUGAUACUCCUCAGCUCUGUAGAAUUUCUUAGCUGGUAGAAUCUCAGUCAUGAUCUUACUCUCCAUUUGUUUCUGGUGACGUUCCAUUGACUCCACCGCUAGUUUCUCCUGCUCAGGUGUGUAGAAGUAUAUCCCUGAUCUGUAUUGGGUUCCCACAUCUUUUCCCUGAUCACAUUUUUAAGUCAUUAGCCACGGUAAAAAAUAGUCAAGGGAUAAUUUCACUACAUAGAUAUGUUAUUAUAAUAAGUAUUGUUCUCUAUCUAAAGUCUUAAAACUUUAAAAAUUUAGCAACUUCAACGUAAAAAGUUUAAAUCUUUGGACCAAGUUAAGAGAAACCCAUAAUGUACCUGGCGAUUCAAGGUGGUGGGGUCAUGUCUAGACCAGAAGACAUCAAGCAGAGACUCAAAGUUGCACUCUUUGGGAUCAUACUGAACCCUGACAACCUCUGCAUGGUUCGUUGUGUUCGUGCAGACAUCCUCGUAUGAAGGAUUGUGGAGGAACCCUUGGGUGUAUCCAACCUCCGUAUGAGUCACACCGGAGACUCUCUGAAACGCCAGCUCCACGCCCCAGAAGCAUCCAGCGGCGAACUGUGCAAACUCAUUUCCCGGCGCCGGAACGUCAUUAGGAGGAACCCUUGGGUGUAUCCAACCUCCGUAUGAGUCACACCGGAGACUCUCUGAAACGCCAGCUCCACGCCCCAGAAGCAUCCAGCGGCGAACUGUGCAAACUCAUUUCCCGGCGCCGGAGCGUCAUUGUCGUUUCCCUGAGUGAUAGAAGAAAGAUUCAUGGCGAAGUUUUCUAGAGAGAAAAAAAAGUUUUUAGAGAGAAUAUUUAAGUUUAUUAUGUAAUUGCAUCCAGAUACCCUCCUCCAUACAUGAACUAUAUAUACCACCUGUAAUCCUGUAUAGUUAACCUUAGAGUGUAUAUACUAUUUAUUCCUGUCCAUAUACACGAUCUAUAAAUAUCACAUGCAUAGUUAUCACUAAAGACAAUAUUAGAGUGUAUAUGCUAUGUAAUUCCGUCCGGAUACACUCCAGACAUGAUCUAACUAUAAAUAUCACGUGUUAGAUAACGUUAUUUGACCCAAAAAAAAAAGAUAACGUUAAGAGUGUUUAUAUUAUGUACUUCCGUCCAGAUACACUCCAUAACUAUGAAUAUCACGUGUUAGUUAACAAUCACAGGUGACGAGGCAGGUGUAUCUAAUAACUUAGACUCUUCUUGAGCUAUAGAAGGAUCCAUUUUGGUAGAUUCAUAUGAGAAAAAAUCAGUCACUUGUUUAUAUAGGAAGAGUCAGUCAGAGAUUAACACCACCUAUGACCUACAUAAAGGCUGAAUAGCUUUUUUAUUGGCACACAAGAAAAAUACAUAAUAUUUUGGUGAAUUAUGUUUUUGAUAAGAUGUCUACAGAAUAUUUAUAAAAACAAAAAAAAAUCUACCCACCAUUCUAUAAAAGUCACAUUUAUUCUAUAUUAAAGAUAUAAAAUCAAAAUUGACAAUAAGAAACUUUAUGAGACUUUAGCCAUAAGUGUCUUAGAAAGUAUUAGCGGAAAUUAGAUUUAUACAGUUUGUUGAUUUCAAAAGUAUGGAGAUUUGUUGAAUUUGGAAAUAAUUUGAAAAAAUUGUGUACAUUUUAAAAUCUAUGAAAACAAAUAAUCUUAAUAAUUUUAAGAAUCUAUAAACCAAUAACGCUACAUUUUUGAAAUUCUAACAAUUAUUACAAUGUAACUCCCAUUAAAGUGAAACUAUAUAAGUGGCCUAAAGUGAAAUCAACUCAAACUCUAUCAGACUUUUUCUUUUCUCAUCCACAAGAUUCGCUCGAUCAUUCAAGAAAAUAAACAAAUAAUUGUAUAAAAACGUUACUCAUGCAAACGAAAGUUAUUGGUUACAUUCCUAUUAGAGAUAGCAAUGUUUGGCUGGUGUUCAUUUUGUGUAACAUACACUGUUACAGAAUUGCAAAUAAAAGUUACAUACGUGUUGUCUAACCAACCUCAUCAGUUUUACAUUCACAAGUCUACGAUAUCCUCUGUUUAGGGAGAUAAGCAGAGGAACUCAGCUCUUUAGCUAGCCGUAGCAGCAAACUGAACCGUUGCAGGCUUUGCCACAGGACAAACAUCGUUAUUAUUUCUUUCUCUGUUUUUAAAUAAAAUGAAUAACUAACAGAAUAAAAUAAAAGAUAUUAUUGAGUUUUUUGUGAUUUAUUCAUUUCGAAAUUUUCAAAAAAAAGUUGUAACACUUUCACAUCUUUGUUAUGAACUGUGAAUUAUAAUCAACAACACACACACAUACAGAGAACACUCCUCUGUUUUGGUAGGAAAAGGAACAAAGAAGGAAUUACCCGAGGUGUAUCUACUAACUUAGAGCAUCUUUAUCCCCACCUCUUAAGUGGGUUCUUAAGAGGUGGAUCCCACAUUUUUGUUAAAACUCCUUUCUUCCUCCUCUUAUUAAGAGGCAAGUUUGUUGGAAUUUUUGUACUGUUCGUGAACUUACUGACAUAUGGCCGUCGCGAUAGAUUAAUUUUUAAUUUUUUUAAAAAAGUAAAAAAUAAAAAAAUAAGAACUUAAACGGAGUUUUAGGGAUAAUGAUGCUCUUAGGCUCUUCUUGAGCUGUCAAAGGAUCCAUUUUGCUAGAUCACUAUGUGAAAGAAAGGAUCAGAUUGGUGAUGUUGUUAAAGUGUUGUAUUGUUGUUGAUGGUGAAGAAAAUGGCAAUAUGAGAAACCUUAUCCAUCAUAUUAUUUUUUUCAUCCAUAAGAUUCGCUCAAAUCUAAAGAAUCAAUAAUUCAAUAACAUCAAUACAUUUAUAUAGUCUCUAACAUUGAAACACGAAAGUAACUUGUUACACUUAUUAGGCAUUUGGUUGAUGCUCAUAUUGUGUAGCAAACAAGUCUCUAACGUCCUCUAUUUUGGGAGAUAAGCAGAGGAAACUCAGCAUUUUUAAGCCGUAGCAGCGCUGCACAUGAGUGGACUGUUGCAGGCUAUGCCACAGGACUGCCCACCCUUUGACAGGUACUGCUGAUGAUACUCCUCAGCUCUGUAGAAUUUCUUAGCUGGUAGAAUCUCAGUCAUGAUCUUACUCUCCAUUUGUUUCUGGUGACGUUCCAUUGACUCCACCGCUAGUUUCUCCUG
rnacentral:lncRNA from 1 species